ACUCUGCGAAAGGAACUUUGGGAGCCUGGGUCUCAAGAACAGUGGGAAGGAUGUCAGGUCAUUGAGUAGUCCAGAUGCACCACAGCUGGGGCAAGAUGGGUAAGGCAGGUUGCAGGUAAGUCCUGUAGACCGGCUGGCCUUGGACUCACAGAGGUAAGCCAGCUUCUGCCUCCGGAGUGCUGGGAUCAAAGGUGUGUGCCAUCGCUCCCAGAGAAGAUUUCUUAAAUGUUUGUGUGUGUCUCUGCACAUGUGUGCAAGUGCCCUCUAAAGUGAAUCCUUGGAGCUGCAGCCCCAGGCAGUGGUGGGUGAUGGGAACUGGAUUUGGAUCCUACACAAGGACGUGUGUGUGUGUGUGUGUGUGUGUGUGUGUACAUUUAUAUAUGUAUAUAUAUAUAUAUAUGAAUGACCUCUGAGGCCCAGGUGCAGCGAGCGUUGCUUGAGGUGAGGUCAGCUGGGGACAUGGAAGCCAGCUCUAAUCAUUUAAUCAUUGGACUACAACCCUUACUCAGCUGUACUUCAGCAGCAGCAAGUUUUAGCCUCCCCCCAGCCCCCCCCCCACUCACUUGUCUUGGGAAUCCGAUGCCGGCCCUUAGCCUCCCAGGCAUGCCCUUGGCCCAUCACGCCUUGUGACAUUGCUCUGACUGUUACCCAACAAUCCCAUUAUACCUUUGAGUAAGCAUGACACACGUACUGUGACUCAUCUAUUGUUCUGCCCUCCCUCAGCUCUGGCCUCCGUGGCACUGACUGUCCCUCGGCUGGCAUGUACCAGUGCCUUGUUCUACGGUGAUGUCUCACGGGGCAUGUCCUGUCAUCUGGUGUCCAGCAGAGUUGAGCAUCUCAGAGCAUGUAACCUCCGCAAACCGGCUUUCUCACAGCCUUCCGGGGAGGCGGGGAUGGACGAGAAUCAAAUGCUUGUUGUCGUCUUAAGAUUUUUGCUUUUAACUGAGUGCAUAUGUGUGUGUCUGGGUGCCGGUAUGCACACGUGAGUUCCAGCGCCCACAGGGCAUCAGGCCUCCUGGGGCUGGAGUGACAGGUGGUUAUGAAUGCUCAUGUGGUGCCUGAGAACUGAAUUCUGGUCCUCUGCAGACCAUAAGGACUCUUCACAAUUAGAACUGUUUCUCAGGCAUGAACAUCCUGUUCUUCAUGUUCAUGUGUUGAUGACUUUCACCACAAUGAAAUAUUAAGCUUUGUCCCUUCAGCUGGCAUGCCUGUGGUGUGUGCCCGGAACCAUGUGGAUUGCUAUGGCCAGAACAGGGGAAGGCCACGUUCCUUUUCCCCUUUAUAAUGUAGUCAUCUUGAUGCUUUGCAACAUCAGCGAGUGCUGAAAUGUAGAUACUGAUACAGGACCUCUGAUAGCCACAAGCACAAGAAGAACACUUGACUGGGGUAGCAAACGCUGUCUCAAGGGAAAGCUCUUUUUCCCAAGUGCUAGGAUUACAGGGAGCCAUCAUACCUGGUUUAGACAUAUUUAAACAUAACCGGUGAGAACUCUAGCCCGUCUAAGACAUCUGUUUGUUCCACGGUGGGUAGUUCUGGCAUCGGAAAUGCCAGCUGACCAAACCAAGUAGUGCAGAGUGGGCUUUUCUCCCUAGGUGGAGAAGAACUGGGGGACAGGGCAGGGUGUGCUGAAGCCUAUCUGUGAUACCAAUGCUAGGGAGGUAGAAGCAAGAGGAGCCUGGGUUCAAAGCCAUCCUUGCUACAUAGGAAAUCUGGGAUCAUUCUUAGCUGCACAUGACCCUGGGACCCUGCUCUGAGCAGCUGAGGGGCCUAGGACAGGCAGGCCACUCAGUAUCUCUGGGCUUUGUUUUAUCCACUGGGAACUAAGUCAAAGGAGACAGAAGGGCGGAGCAGCGGGCCUGCCACCAGUGACAUCUAUUUAAGUCUACAGCGUCUUAUCUAUGACUCCAAAUGCCUAGAAGGACUGAAGACAAAAUAUAUUUAGCACAGAGACCUGAGCUGAGCUGACAAAGGACCGGCUGUUUUCAUUCCCUCACGUGAAAGUCUAAAGAGUUCUCUUCAGCGACAUCACGGUUUGAUUAUAGUGUGCAGACCAUACCCCGUGGGGCUGUUAUGGUCUGGCUCUGGGUUGCUUUUCUGAACUCCAAAAGACUGGAUGAUAAGCCAGGUGUGGGGCUAACCUGUAAUUCCAGUACUUGGGAGAUGAAGGCAGGAGAAUGAGGAGUUUAAGGCUAGCCUAGGACAUAUAAGUUGUGGGAAGCCAGCCUGAGCUACAUGAGAACAGUUUUUUUUUUUUUAAUAAAUAAAAAUGGGCCUGGAGAGAUGGUUUAGUUUUUAAGAGUACUUACAGCUGUUGCAGAGGACCACAGUUCAAUUGCCAGUACCCGCACUGGGUGGCUCACAAAAUCUGUAACUCGGUGGUGGUGCACACCUUUAGUCCAGCAUUUGGGAAGCAGAGGCUGGCGGAUCUUUGAGUUCAAGGCCAACCUGGUCUUCAGUGCAAGUUCUAGGACAACCAGGGCUACACAGAGGAACCCUAUCUUGAAAAACCAAAGAGACUCUGAAUUACGUAACGUAUUGCUGCCCAAAAGCAUUGACGAAGAAUACGCCCCUCCCACAUACCUUUGCUGGCACAGGCUCUUAGUCUGUGGCCCGGAACUACUCAUGUAGCCCAAGAUGACCUCAAAAAUCUCAGUGAACUUCCUGCCUUAGUCUCCUUAGAGUUAGGAUUAUAGACAUGAGCUAUGGCUUCCAGCUUUCUGCUGCAGGUCCCCCAACCCAACUGUUCAAACGGCCCCUAAGGACCUGGAGCCCGUCUUCCAUCUCCCUCCAGUCAGUAGAAGUGUCUACCCACUUUCCCACUAGGGCUCCCCCAGGCCCGUUCCCUGCCCUUGACUCUCUGUUCUUCUCCAUUCUCCAUCCCACUGAACUUAAGUGGUCAGGCAGAUGGCUUUGGUGAUGUCUCCUCUUCUGAAUGGCCAGCAGUUGAGGAUGCCUGUGAGGAUGAAUUGACUCAAGGAGCGUCUGACUGGAUCUCUCUGUGCUCCAAAUACUGGUUGCGGACAGUCUGAGCAAAUACCCCGCCUGCCGCUUCAACCGCGCUGAAGCCCUGGGGUUUUCUCACUACAAUGUCCCCAGCAGACCAAAUCCUAAAAUAAACGCUCUCAUUUGCUAGCUAGCGCUAUCUCC
rnacentral:lncRNA from 1 species